AAUUUCGGCGAAAUUGGACAAUAAAUGUGCCUUUUAUGGGCCCAAAACCUUAAAUCGAUAGAUCGUUAUAUGUGGCAGCUAUAUCCAAAUCCGGACCGAACUGGGCCAAGUUAUCGAAGAACCUAACGCCACUCACUGUCCUAAAUUUCGGCGAAAUCGGACAAUAUAUGCGCCUUUUAUGGGCCAUAAUUUAUAUCGAGAAAUCGGUCUAUAUUGCAGCUAUUUCCAAAUCUGAACCGAUCUGAGCCAAAUUGAAGAUGAGUGUUGAAGGGCCUAACUGUGUUAAAUUUUGGCAAAAUCGGAAAAUAAAUGCGCCUUUUAUGGGCCCAAGACCUUAAAUCGAGAGAUCAGUCUAUGUGACAGCUAUAUCCAAAUCUGGACCGAUCUGGGCCAAAUUAAAGAAGGAUGUCGACUGGCCUAACACACUUCACAGUCCCAAAUUUCAGCAAAAUCGGAUAAUAAAUGUAGCUUUUAUGGGCUUAAGACCCUAAAUCGGCUAAUCGGUCUAUAUGGGGGCUAUAUCAAGAUAUAGUCCGAUAUAGCCCAUCUUCGAACAUAACCAGCUUCUGGACAAAAAAAGAAUUUGUGCAAAGGUUGAGCUCAAUAUCUCUAUUUUUAAAGACUGUAGCGCGAUUUCAACAGACAGGCGGACGGACAUGGCUAGAUCGUCUUAGAUUUUUACGCAGAUCAAGAAUAUAUAUUCUUUAUAGGGUCGGAAAUGGAUAUUUCGAUGUUUGCAAACGGAAUUACAAAAUGAAUAUGCCCCCAUGCUUUGGUGGUGGGUAUAAAAAUAUGUCAGUAAGGAUGCUUUGACGAAAGCUAUUGUAAAAGGAAUGUAUCAAAAUACCGGCAGAUUACUUUCGUGCAGCUUGCAACUCGUAUUAACCAACUCAGAACGAUAGUCAAGGGCAUAAGGUGGUCAUAUUUCUUCCACACAUUUUUGACAUUUAAAACAAUGAAAAAAAAAACUUUUCACAUAAAAACUAAUUUUAACGUUUGAAUUGGUUACACUUCGUAGCAGGAAGGACCGACAAAAUAAUGGAAAGAUAGUGCUAAAGAAAACUCUUGGAACUUGCUGUUAAAAAUGGGAAAGAAACGCACAAAAUCAAAGUACAAAGCGCUUAGUAUUUUGGCGUGUGGGAAUAUGGACAACAGCUGCUUGAUUUUGACAGAGAAGCAAUCAAACGCUAAUUCGCCGUUUAGUGGAUCGAUGACGUAACGGAAAACGUAAUGGAAUUACGAAACCUGGAAAACGUGUCGCACGGCUAAAAAACAAUGAAACAAUAAUUAAACUGAAA